rnacentral:rRNA from 1 species
UACAGAGGGAGCAAGCGUUGUUCGGAAUUACUGGGCGUAAAGGGCGCGUAGGCGGUUCGAUAAGUCCCGUGUGAAAUCCCUCGGCUCAACUGAGGAAUGGCACGGGAAACUGACGGGCUUGAGUUCGGGAGAGGGAAGCGGAAUUCCGGGUGUAGCGGUGAAAUGCGUAGAUAUCCGGAGGAACACCAGUGGCGAAAGCGGCUUCCUGGUCCAGCAUCGACGUUCAGGCACGAAAGCGUGGGGAGCAAACAGG